UGAGCGAUCAUUUGUGGUAUUUAAGUGACAAAUUAGCCAUAAUUUCUCUAUUUGACGAUGCUGUAGAUCCGGAAGUAAAGAAAAAAAUGGUAAAAAAUUUGAAAAAUCGGAACCCUAUAAAAACUAAAGCCAGAAAAUAUGAAUUUGACUACAAAAACUUACAUGAAUUUUUACACAAAGAUUGAAGAAGUCGACAAGUGGUCCAGCAUCGAUAGUUUUCAGGAAUGUCAACAAUUUUUUAGUAAAUUGGCUGUUGUCAAUGAUGUCGCGGAACGUGGUGUAGCGCUAAUUGAAGAUUACAAUCAAUGCCUUACUAAAGACGAAGAACAGCUCCAAUAUUUAUUACUAGUUAUUAGUGAGUAUCGGAAAAAAUUCCCUAAUUGCAAUAAAAGUACGUUAAUUGAAUGAU